rnacentral:rRNA from 1 species
GACGGCCUUCGGGUUGUAAACCUCUUUCAGCAGGGACCACAAGUGACGGUACCUGCAGAAGAAGCGCCGGCUAACUACGUGCCAGCAGCCGCGGUAAUACGUAGGGCGCAAGCGUUGUCCGGAAUUAUUGGGCGUAAAGAGCUCGUAGGCGGUUUGUCGCGUCUGCUGUGAAAGCCCGGGGCUCAACCCCGGGUCUGCAGUGGGUACGGGCAGACUAGAGUGCAGUAGGGGAGACUGGAAUUCCUGGUGUAGCGGUGAAAUGCGCAGAUAUCAGGAGGAACACCGAUGGCGAAGGCAGGUCUCUGGGCUGUUACUGACGCUGAGGAGCGAAAGCAUGGGGAGCGAACAGGAUUAGAUACCCUGGUAGUCCAUGCCGUAAACGUUGGGCACUAGGUGUGGGGGACAUUCCACGUUCUCCGCGCCGUAGCUAACGCAUUAAGUGCCCCGCCUGGGGAGUACGGCCGCAAGGCUAAAACUCAAG